AUGUCCUCCUCCCUCGCGCUCUCGCUCCCGCUCCCACCCCGGUGCGCGCUCCCCCUCCCGCCACCUCACCUCGCUCCCAAGCACCCAUCUCUCCGCGCCAACCAGUGCCACCUCCUCGUUCGCACGCUCCCCCCGCCUCGCCGCCUCCUCCUCGCCCCUAGGGCUUCGUCGUACGCCGCAUCCCCCGCCGAGCCGGCGCGUGAGGGUGGCGCGGGCGGGAAGAAGGCGCCCGGGUUCCGGAACAGGUUCCUGGACCUGGCGCGGCUCGGGGCCGUGGCGGAGGGCGCGGCGGAGGCCUUCUUCCGCAGCGAAAUCCGGCGGCGGCUUGCCGUCACGGCCGUGCUCAUCGUGCUCAGCCGCGUAGGCUACUUCGUCCCGCUUCCCGGGUUCGACCGCCGCCUCAUCCCCGACUCCUAUCUCAGCUUCGCCCCGCUCCCUGCAGAUGACCUCGUUGAUUUUGCUUCUGAACUGAAGCUGUCGUUUUUCCAGCUGGGAAUCAGUCAUCAGAUCUCAGCGUCGAUUGUAAUGCAGGUUCUUUGCCAUGUUCUUCCAUCACUUGAAAAGAUUCGCAAGGAAGGAUUAGACGGGCAUGAGAAGAUCAAAAGCUAUAUAUGGUGGCUAUCACUGGGUUUUGCAAUUGUGGCUGCUUGUACUGUGUCAUGCUAUUCGCUGCAGUACUCCAUAUAUGCAGCAAGUUACAGGGUUAAGCAUGUCAUAUUAACAAGCUUUCUGCUUGUCCUCGGUGCAAUGUCAACGACUUGGAUCUGUGACACCAUAACGGAAUCUGGCUUUGGGCAUGGCUCAUCUUUGAUUAUCUGUGUUGGAAUAUUGACUGGUUACACAAAUACACUACACAAGAUGCUAACUCAAUUUUCAGGAAAUGUGUGCACAUCUUGGCCCUACAUCUUGGGAGUAGCUGGGAUCUUUAUGAUGGUUACCAUGGGGGCAGUGUUGGUGACUGAAGGAUGUAGGAAGAUAAAGCUUCAGUACUAUGGAUUCAAGUUGGCUUCUAUUGCAGGGAAUGAAAACUCCCCAGUUACAGAGGUUGAGCCAUAUAUCCCCUUCAAUAUAAACCCAACAGGGAUGCAGCCUUUGCUUACAACCUCAUACUUACUUGCUUUUCCAAGCAUUAUGGCCAGCAUUUUUCGUUCGCCAUUUUGGGAAAAUUUGAAGGAAAUUUUGAAUCCAAUGACUUCAGUUGGUGGUAGUCCUUGGAUUUAUUAUUUGACCUAUGCAUUUUUCGUCUUCGUCUUCAACAUUUUUGACAUUGCCAACUUGCCAAAAGAGAUAUCUGACUACCUGAAUAAGAUGAGUGCCAGAGUGCCAAAGAUAAAACCUGGAAGAGCAACAGUGGAUUAUCUUACAAAGAUACAAACAUCGACACGUUUCUGGGGAGGUCUACUACUGAGCUUGCUGGCAACUUCCUCGUUAUUACUUGACAGAUAUCUCAGACAAAUAAAUGAGGGGUUUUCUAUAGGUUUCACAUCAGUCUUGAUUAUUGUGGGCUCAAUCAUUGAACUUAGAAGGUCCUAUCAAGCAUAUAAUGUGAUGCCAGCACUAAGCAAAGUUUUGAAGAGAUAUGGUGCUUAA
rnacentral:rRNA from 1 species